UAAAAGAAGACCAAUUUUCAUCUUGCAAGUGUUUUUGUUUUAUAUACAGAUUAAGGCAGAAAAUAGAUGUGAUACGGAAAACAGCCAAAAGAAAACUUGCUGUUCUGGAUAUACAUUUGAUGAAGUUUCUAAAACAUGCAUUGAAUGCAGAAUUGGAUAUCAAGGACAAAAUUGCAAUAGUCCAUGUCCAUCAGGUUACUUUGGAGAGAAGUGUCAGAUGGUGUGUUCCUGUCCGAACGACAUUUGCAAUAAUAUCAAAGGAUGUAUUUUUG